rnacentral:rRNA from 1 species
CAUUCACGGAGAGUUUGAUCCUGGCUCAGGACGAACGCUGGCGGCGUGCUUAACACAUGCAAGUCGAACGAUGAACCACUUCGG